rnacentral:rRNA from 1 species
UACGUAGGGUGCAAGCGUUGUCCGGAAUUAUUGGGCGUAAAGGGCUCGUAGGCGGCCAACUAAGUCCGACGUGAAAUCCCAAAGCUUAACUUUGGAACUGCGUCGGAUACUGGAUGGCUUGAAUUCGGGAGAGGGAUGCAGAAUUCCAGGUGUAGCGGUGAAAUGCGUAGAUAUCUGGAGGAAUACCGGUGGCGAAGGCGGCAUCCUGGACCGACAUUGACGCUGAUGAGCGAAAGCUAGGGGAGCAAACGGG